rnacentral:rRNA from 1 species
UACGUAGGGGGCUAGCGUUGUCCGGAAUCAUUGGGCGUAAAGAGCGUGUAGGCGGCUCGGUAAGUCCGCUGUGAAAGUCCAGGGCUCAACCCUGGAAUGCCAGUGGAAACUGUCGAGCUAGAGUCCGGAAGAGGCGAGUGGAAUUCCUGGUGUAGCGGUGAAAUGCGCAGAUAUCAGGAGGAACACCAAUGGCGAAGGCAGCUCGCUGGGACGGUACUGACGCUGUGACGCGAAAGCGUGGGGAGCAAACAGG